GAUGAACGCUGGCGGCGUGCCUAAUACAUGCAAGUCGAGCGAACGGACGAGAAGCUUGCUUCUCUGAUGUUAGCGGCGGACGGGUGAGUAACACGUGGAUAACCUACCUAUAAGACUGGGAUAACUUCGGGAAACCGGAGCUAAUACCGGAUAAUAUUUUGAACCGCAUGGUUCAAAAGUGAAAGACGGUCUUGCUGUCACUUAUAGAUGGAUCCGCGCUGCAUUAGCUAGUUGGUAAGGUAACGGCUUACCAAGGCAACGAUGCAUAGCCGACCUGAGAGGGUGAUCGGCCACACUGGAACUGAGACACGGUCCAGACUCCUACGGGAGGCAGCAGUAGGGAAUCUUCCGCAAUGGGCGAAAGCCUAACGGAGCAACGCCGCGUGAGUGAUGAAGGUCUUCGGAUCGUAAAACUCUGUUAUUAGGGAAGAACAUAUGUGUAAUUAACUGUGCACAUCUUGACGGUACCUAAUCAGAAAGCCACGGCUAACUACGUG
rnacentral:rRNA from 1 species